GCACUCUCCCCAGUAAAAUCCCAAAGGUAAGAGUGACUACUGUAACGUUUGGCUCUCCAAUGUAGAGUUGGGCUGCGAUCCAGAUCGGGCCGACACUCAUCGCACACACUCGCGUGGAAACAUGGGAUUUCCCCUUCCCUUUAAGAUGGAUUGAUUGAAGACUGGGAUUCCCUUGCUUGGCAAUGUCUUCGCAAGGCUCUGAUUUCCAAGGAAGCCUCAGGGAAACUUAGGACUCGUGUUGAACCUGGACCGGGGACGGACCGACUUCCUCACCGGUGUGGACUGAACUGACCCAUUUCCACGCCUAAGGAAGCUCUCUCCCGUGGGAAAGCCGACUGAGAUGGAAGCCCUGCUCCAGGCAACUUGUACCUUCUGAGAAGUGGCUCCAAAGGAGAAGGAAACCUUUCUGGACCAUUUCAGAAGUGAUGGAUAGAGAGUUUCCUUCAGCAAAAAAAAGAAGACAAAACAAUUUGGUUAUUGAUGUACAAUUAUUCCAUUAGGUCUUCUGACAAAUAAUAAGUAGCUAAUAAAAUAAUUGCUCUGCCUCCAAUGAUUUUUCUCUCUCUUUCUCUCAAGAUGGUCAGAAUAUUGUGGAAUAAUACUGGGGUUUUUUCUCUCUACAGUUAAUCUUGUGGACAUGGAGCUUUUUCCUACCUUGUUGUUGUUGUUGUUGUGUGUGUGUGUUAGGAGUAAACCAUAGUGAAAUGUCUGAAUUUUCGUAUACAGUAGAGGCUUGCUUAUCGAACAUAAAUGGACUGGCAGAACAUUGGAUAAGCAAAAAUGUUGGAUAAUAAGGAGGGAUUAAGAAAAAGCCUAUUAAACAUCAAAUCACAUUAUGUUUUUACAAAUUAAGCACCAAAACAUCAUGCUUUACAACAAAUUAACAGGAAAAGCAGCUCAAUACAUGGUAACAUUAUGUAGUAAUUACUGUAUUUAUGAAUUUAGCACCAAAAUAUCACAAUGUUUUGAAACUGCUGUGGAUCUGGACGGGAGGCAGACUGCGCUGGAUAAUGCAGAAUGUUGGAAGAGUGAAGGUUGAAAAAGCGAGACUCUACUGUAUCUAUAUUUGAUAACUAAUGAAAUUAAGGCUGGAAAAGAGUGAAAUCAAGAUUGACAGAUGUGUUCAUACUUAACUGUAACAUAUGUAAUGAUAUAUUUGUAAUACUUAAUUUUUAAAUACUUAACUGUAAGAUUUAAGUGUAGCACAUUUUACUUUUACUUAAUUGAGAAUAAAUUUGUUUGAGUUAGGCAUAAAAUAUGCAAUCAAACAUUCUUACAUCAUACUCUACAAUAUUUGAUAGCAAUUAUAAACAUGAGGCUGCAUAUUGUUGUAUAUGUUACCAUUUGAAUAUAUAAUAAACACAUUCCAUUUUUGAAUAAA